rnacentral:rRNA from 1 species
ACGGAAGGCAGCAGUGGGGAAUUUUGCGCAAUGGGGGGAACCCUGACGCAGCAACGCCGCGUGCGGGAUGGAGGCCUUCGGGUUGUAAACCGCUUUCAGCAGGGAAGAUGAUGACUGUACCUGCAGAAGAAGCUCCGGCUAACUACGUGCCAGCAGCCGCGGUAAUACGUAGGGAGCGAGCGUUAUCCGGAUUCAUUGGGCGUAAAGCGCGCGUAGGCGGAUGCCUAAGCGGAACCUCUAAUCCGAGGGCUCAACCCCCGGCCGGGUUCCGAACUGGGCGUCUCGAGUGCGGUAGGGGCAAGUGGAAUUCCAUGUGUAGCGGUGGAAUGCGCAGAUAUAUGGAAGAACACCGAUGGCGAAGGCAGCUUGCUGGGCCGUCACUGACGCUGAGGUGCGAAAGCGUGGGGAGCGAACAGGAUUAGAUACCCUGGUA